CCUACGGGAGGCAGCAGUGGGGAAUAUUGCACAAUGGGGGAAACCCUGAUGCAGCGAAGCCGCGUGAGUGAAGACGUAUUUCGGUAUGUCAAGCUCUAUCCGCAGGGAAGAUAAUGACGGUACCUGACUAAGAAGCCCCGGCUAACUACGUGCCAGCAGCCGCGGUAAUACGUAGGGGGCAAGCGUUAUCCGGCUUUACUGGGUGUAAAGGGAGCGUAGGUGGCAGGGGAAGUCAGAUGUGAAAACCCGGGGCGCAACCCCGGGAGUGCAUUUGAAACUGUCCAGCGGGAGUACAGGAGAGGUAGGCGGAAUUCCUAGUGUAGCGGUGAAAUGCAUAGAUAGUAGGAGGAACACCAGUGGCGAAGGCGGCUUACUGGACUGUAACUGACACUGAGGCUCGAAAGCGUGGGGAGCAAACAGGAGUAGAUACCCGUGUAGUC
rnacentral:rRNA from 1 species